rnacentral:misc_RNA from 1 species
GGUAGACGAUGUACCCGUCGACAGCGAGGCGCCUGUGGUGACUUCGUUGAUCAAAAGUUUUCACCAAACGCUUUGUAGUAAAGACGUCACGCGUUGUCUA